rnacentral:rRNA from 1 species
AGAGUUUGAUCCUGGCUCAGGACGAACGCUGGCGGCGUGCUAAUACAUGCAAGUCGAGCGAAUUGAUGGGAGCUUGCUCCUGAUAUUAGCGGCGGACGGGUGAGUAACACGUGGGUAACCUGCCUGUAAGAUUGGGAUAACUCCGGGAAACCGGAGCUAAUACCGGAUAAUAUUUUGAACCGCAUGGUUCGAAAUUGAAAGAUGGUUUCGGCUAUCACUUACAGAUGGACCCGCGGCGCAUUAGCUAGUUGGUGAGGUAACGGCUCACCAAGGCAACGAUGCGUAGCCGACCUGAGAGGGUGAUCGGCCACACUGGGACUGAGACACGGCCCAGACUCCUACGGGAGGCAGCAGUAGGGAAUCUUCCGCAAUGGACGAAAGUCUGACGGAGCAACGCCGCGUGAACGAUGAAGGCCUUCGGGUCGUAAAGUUCUGUUGUUAGGGAAGAACAAGUACCAGAGUAACUGCUGGUACCUUGACGGUACCUAACCAGAAAGCCACGGCUAACUACGUGCCAGCAGCCGCGGUAAUACGUAGGUGGCAAGCGUUGUCCGGAAUUAUUGGGCGUAAAGCGCGCGCAGGUGGUUUCUUAAGUCUGAUGUGAAAGCCCACGGCUCAACCGUGGAGGGUCAUUGGAAACUGGGGAACUUGAGUGCAGAAGAGGAAAGUGGAAUUCCAAGUGUAGCGGUGAAAUGCGUAGAGAUUUGGAGGAACACCAGUGGCGAAGGCGACUUUCUGGUCUGUAACUGACACUGAGGCGCGAAAGCGUGGGGAGCGAACAGGAUUAGAUACCCUGGUAGUCCACGCCGUAAACGAUGAGUGCUAAGUGUUAGAGGGUUUCCGCCCUUUAGUGCUGCAGCUAACGCAUUAAGCACUCCGCCUGGGGAGUACGGUCGCAAGACUGAAACUCAAAGGAAUUGACGG